rnacentral:lncRNA from 1 species
GUGAGUGCUCCGUGAAUGUUAGUUACUGUGAUUAUUUUUAGCCCAGCAGGACAGGGAGGAGUGUUAGGUCCCUGGGGGCGAUCACUCCUCUGUUUACUCCUCGGACUGUCCCGGCCUGGCAGGCGUUCAUGAGUUUGUUUCUCCUGUCCCAAGGUUGCCCUGGUGCUCUGCAGUGGCAGGGCUGAGAUGAUUAUACAACCUGCACUCCAGGCCAAGUCCGGUACUCGUCCCAGCUGUCGGCUAAGCCUGCACUGCUAUGGAAGGACAGAAUAACGGGCUCCCAGAUUCACAAGCCCCACCAAGAGGAUCACCCCAGGAACGCUUGGAGGCUGAGGAGUUCACUGAGGCUACUGCAUCUUGAGACUCAGGAUGAAGACCCAGCUUGGGGCUGUCAAAGGUUUUUUGCAUGUCUGACACCCAUGACUCCACCUGGACCUUAUGGCUCCACCCAGAAGCAAUUCAGCCCAACAGGAGGACAGCUUCAACCCAUUACGAUUUCAUCUCUGCCCCAACCACUCAGCAGCAAGCACCUGUUACCUGUCCACCCCCACCCCUUCCCCCAAACUGCCUUUGAAAAAUCCCUAACCUAUGAGCUUUGAAUAAGAUGAGUACGAACUUCAUCGCCCACGUGGCGUGGCCGGCCUCGUGUCUAUUAAAUUC